UGAAGGAUGGCUGCACACAAGAAGCACCGAUGUAAGAUACUCUCAGUUGCAGGAGGAGAAGAUAAAAUGAGACGGAGGAGGGUGAAACCACUUGAUGAAGCAGUACAACAUGUCACCAGUGCAACUGACAAGACUGAUGUAUUGGAGAGUAAAUUAAUAAACCCUUAUAAAGGUCAUGGUGUAUUUGCCCUGGCUUCUUUGAAUAAGGAGA